AUUAUAUUCCACCGUUGAAGGACUUUUGUUAAGUACCUGUUUGACCCUUAGUGCAGGGCUUACAUCCCACAGUUAGCAAUAGCAAGUUAUGUGCUUUUUGAGCCCUAAACACUGAGAAUUUCUUGAACCGAGUUCUAUUCGGCCCUGACUUGCUGUGGGGGAGAAAAGAUUCCUCGGGAGAAGCGUGGGUGGCGAUGGCUUAGGAGGACCUUGAAAUUCCGCAUUUGUCUGUGAGCUGCUGCCAGGUGCCCAUUGGCCCAGCUACUCUGGGUCGCAAACCUGCAGAUGCCAGAUACAUGAAAUUUGGGGACAUUCAGCUUCCUAAAACCACAGUUAGGCAGGUCCUAGGACCCGUGAUUCUUGCCACAGUUUUUCUUAGUAUUUGGGCUACAAGUGAGGCAUUGGCCGCCAUCUUGAUAUCAAAUGCCAGGCAAGCCGCUACUGGCGUCGCUCGGUAACCACGGAGACACCCGUGCCCCUCCCGUUUCUCAUCCUUAGAGGCUGUAAACUACAAUUCCCAUCAGCCGAUUUCCUCUGCUUAAUGGCAACUUAUCUAAAUCUGGCUUGUGGGCAACCGCAACGCUGCCGCAGUGAACUGUGGGAGUUGCGGUUCAUGGCGUAGACUCAGUUUUUUUCCUGGGGAAAGUUCCAGAACUACAAAUCCCGUGAGCCAGUGGGCUUUCGCCUGCGCACGGAGAAGCCGAUUCUCCUUGGCCCCUCAGCCUGCGCCUGAGAGGUAAGAGAGGGCGGGGGGAAGGAAGAGGAGGCGGGAUCCGGGCGCUGCGUUGGCUGCGGCCUGGCACCAAAGGGGCGGCCCCGGCGGAGAGCGGACCCAGUGGCCUCGGCGAUUAUGGACCCGGCCGAGGCGGUGCUGCAAGAGAAGGCACUCAAGUUUAUGUGCUCUAUGCCCAGGUCUCUGUGGCUGGGCUGCUCCAGCCUGGCGGACAGCAUGCCUUCGCUGCGAUGCCUGUAUAACCCAGGGACUGGCGCACUCACAGCUUUCCAGAUAUUGAAAGAGAAGAGAAAUGAAAUUCUGACUGUAAGAAUAUAAGUAAGGGGCCGGGCACGGUGAUGCACGCUUAUAAUCUCAGCACUUUGGAAGGCCAGGGCUGGCGGAUCCCAUGAGCCCAGGAGUUCGAGACCAGCCUGGGCAACAUAGUGAGACCCUGUCUCUACAAAAAAUUAGCUGGGUGUGGUGGUACUCACCUGUCCCAGCUAUCUGGAAGGCCAAGGUGGGAGGUCAAGGCUGCAGUGAGCCAUGAUUGCGACACUGCAUUCUAGCCUGGGUGACAGAGUGAGACCCUGUUUCAAUUAAAAAAAAUAUAUAGAUAGAUAGAUA
rnacentral:lncRNA from 1 species